rnacentral:rRNA from 1 species
CCAUGGCUUCGGCCAUGGGGAGAGCGGCGAACGGGUGAGUAACACGUGAGCGAUCUGCCCUCGACACUGGGAUAGCCCGGGGAAACCCGGAUUAAUACCGGAUAGCCUCUCGGGUCUACGGGCUCGCGAGAAAAGAUGGCUUCGGCUUUCGGUCGAGGAGGAGCUUGCGGCGGAUUAGCUUGUUGGUGAGGUAACGGCUCACCAAGGCGACGAUCCGUAGCUGGUCUGAGAGGACGAUCAGCCACACUGGGACUGAGACACGGCCCAGACUCCUACGGGAGGCAGCAGUGGGGAAUCUUGCGCAAUGGGCGAAAGCCUGACGCAGCGACGCCGCGUGAGGGAAGAAGGCCUUCGGGUUGUAAACCUCUUUCAGGAGGGACGAAGCCACUCGGGUUAAUAGCCCAGAGGGUGACGGUACCUCCAGAAGAAGCCCCGGCUAACUACGUGCCAGCAGCCGCGGUAAUACGUAGGGGGCAAGCGUUGUCCGGAAUCAUUGGGCGUAAAGCGCGUGUAGGCGGCCAGAUAAGUCCGCUGUGAAAACUCGAGGCUCAACUUCGAGCUGUCGGUGGAAACUAUCUGGCUAGAGUCCGGAAGAGGAGAGUGGAAUUCCUGGUGUAGCGGUGAAAUGCGCAGAUAUCAGGAAGAACACCCGUGGCGAAGGCGGCUCUCUGGGACGGUACUGACGCUGAGACGCGAAAGCGUGGGGAGCGAACAGGAUUAGAUACCCUGGUAGUCCACGCCGUAAACGAUGGGUGCUAGGUGUGGGCGGUGUCGACUCCGUCCGUGCCGAAGCUAACGCA